AGUCAUAUGCUUGUCUCAAAGAUUAAGCCAUGCAUGUCUCAGUACAAGCCAAAUUAAGGUGAAACCGCGAAAGGCUCAUUAAAUCAGUUAUGGUUCCUUAGAUCGUACCCACAUUUACUUGGAUAACUGUGGUAAUUCUAGAGCUAAUACAUGCCAACAGAACUCCGACCGGAGACGGAAGGAGUGCCUUUAUUAGAUCAAAACCAAUCGGUGAUGUGACCUCGGUCGUGUCAUCGUACAACAUGGUGAAUCUGAAUAACGUUUGCUGAUCGCACGGUCUCGCACCGGCGACGCAUCUUUCAAAUGUCUGCCUUAUCAACUGUCGAUGGUAGGUUCUGCGCCUACCAUGGUUGUAACGGGUAACGGGGAAUCAGGGUUCGAUUCCGGAGAGGGAGCCUGAGAAACGGCUACCACAUCCAAGGAAGGCAGCAGGCGCGCAAAUUACCCACUCCCGGCACGGGGAGGUAGUGACGAAAAAUAACGAUACGGGACUCAUCCGAGGCCCCGUAAUCGGAAUGAGCACACUUUAAAUCCUUUCACGAGGAUCAAUCGGAGGGCAAGUCAGGUGCCAGCAGCCGCGGUAAUUCCUGCUCCGAUAGCGUAU
rnacentral:rRNA from 1 species